CAUGGAGCCAGAUGUUGUUGAUUUCUUUGGGGAAUGUAUGAAUAGUCCCUGAAAUGGUCGUACUCCGCUUGCAAAUGAGAUAUAUGAGCAAAUGGUUGCAGAGAAGGAAAGAGAGCUAGAAGAAGGAGAAGCACAAAAGUCACCCUCCAAGAUUGUUGCUGAUAGUCUCAGCCAGAUCAGCCGCUCAUCCACCUUCCUUCCAAACAUUGGUGUCCCUACAACGUCCAAGACUGGUCGGUCCACAUCGCUAGCUGCACAAGCACGCAUGCAAGCUCAGUUUGAGGAAAAACUCCAAGCUGAAAGAGAGGAAGCUGCUAGGAAGCAGGAAGAGUUGCAAGCACAACUACAAGCUCAACAGGCCGCACUUGAAGAAAACCAAAGUUUGUUGCGCCAGACCCAAGAGGAAGUGAAGGGGAUGCAUACCAAGUUUGA
rnacentral:misc_RNA from 1 species